rnacentral:rRNA from 1 species
GACGAACGCUGGCGGCGUGCUUAACACAUGCAAGUCGUACGGUAAGGCCCUUUCGGGGGUACACGAGUGGCGAACGGGUGAGUAACACGUGAGUAACCUGCCCACAACUUUGGGAUAACGCUAGGAAACUGGUGCUAAUACUGGAUAUGUGCUCCUGCUGCAUGGUGGGGGUUGGAAAGCUCCGGCGGUUGUGGAUGGACUCGCGGCCUAUCAGCUUGUUGGUGGGGUAGUGGCCUACCAAGGCGGCGACGGGUAGCCGGCCUGAGAGGGUGACCGGCCACAUUGGGACUGAGAUACGGCCCAGACGCCUACGGGAGGCAGCAGGGGGGAAUAUUGCACAAGGGGCGCAAGCCUGAUGCAGCAACGCCGCGGGCGGGAUGACGGCCUUCGGGUUGUAAACCGCUUUCAGCAGGGACGAAGCUUUUUGUGACGGUACCUGCAGAAGAAGCACCGGCUAACUACGUG